rnacentral:lncRNA from 1 species
UGUGGAGAAAAGCCAUGCUUUGGAAACAAGAGAAACCAUUGAAUCCCAUUUCCACACUCUCCAACUCAGCUCUCUGCUUCCUUCCUCUUCUUGCAACCCUGCAACCAAAGGUAAUUAACUCUCCUUAUCCUCAUAAUAUUUACUACUAACUCAAAUAGAUAACAUAAUUCACGUAUGUAGAUUUUUUUUUUUUUUUUUGGUGUGUGUGUGUGAAUAUAGUAUGUUUGUCUAUUUUUAAUUUGUUGUACAUUCCGAUCACCAUUUUCAUUUUAAUUUUAAAUCUUCAUCCUUGAUUUUCUUUGGUGGGUGUGGUGGCCUGAGGUUGAAUGAGUGGAAAAGGGGAGGGGAUUAUUUUGUAAUUAUCUAUUCUAUUUAACGUAACAGUUUUUCUUUUUUAGUUCAAAAAUGAUACUCAUAUCUUUUUAUAUUUAAAAGGACUUUAGUUCAGACUUUUCAUUUUAUCUUUAAUUAGACACUCUUAUAUUACAACAUGUUUAAAAUUACAAGUUUAAAUAAUACUUUAGGUACAUAUUCAAAGUUUUUCUUUAUUUUUAGUGAUGAAAUAUAUUUUACAUAAAUUAUUUUUUUUCUUUUUCGUUUUGCUUGUUUGUUACUUGGUUGUGAGAUUGGGGUUGGGGUUGUGGUGAGAAAAAGCAGGUCAACGAAUUAUUUGAUAAUUUGCUUUUCCAAAAGUUAUAAGGUGAAAGUAACGCAAUAAUCCACAUGAUUGAACAUAGCGUUUUCACUUGUUCCCUUUUGUUUUCACUAUAUAGAAGAACUUUAACAACAAACAAGAAAAAAAAAAAUGUAACCAUAAUCAUAUAUUAUAUGAUUCGAACUAAAAUUACUUUUACCCUAAGAUAUUACAUUUUAUAUGAUGGGGACCAAAGUUUUGCCAGUAUAGAUUUUUAAUGGAGCGAAUAAGUGUGAAUUUUCUAACAAAUUCACGAUAGUAUCGGAAAAAAGUACAAACUGAUUGAUAAGUUUUAAAUUAAAAUCCUUCUGAUGUAAUAACGCUUUAAAAGGAUAUUGCUUUCAUCAGCACUAAACUUUGUACCUGCAUUGCACGUUAGUUUGCAAUUAUUGAUGAUUUCAUCUUCACUAUUUGCUAGCUCCAGCCUGUCAUGCAAGUUUCUGGAAAAUUAAUAAUUGAAUAUUUUGGUAAAUAAAGUAGAAAAGAGGAAGAAAGUAAAAUAUAAUACCAUAACUCACUAAUGGUGAAGAUUAAAAUAAAAGAAGAAGAAGAAAACAAUUUGGUGAAGAUUUCUCCAAGCUACAUCCUAACAACUAGUCAAAAUGUAAUUAAUAUGUUUUAUGAUUUAUUAUGUGCAAUUAGUCA